CGGAGAUGGAGAGUGCGUCGGAGCUGGUUCCAUUUCCACUGCUUCUCACACCGAUUGAGUCCAAUUACCGAGCCUGCACCAUCCCCUACCGAUUCCCUUCCGAUAAUCCUCGCAAGCCCACCCCCAUUGAGCUCUCAUGGAUCGACGUCUUCUACAAUGUCAUCCCUUCCUUCAAAGAACGGGCGGCGAGUGAUCCCACAGUCCCAG
rnacentral:misc_RNA from 1 species